AAAUUGAAGAGUUUGAUCAUGGCUCAGAUUGAACGCUGGCGGCAGGCCUAACACAUGCAAGUCGAACGGUAACAGGAAGAAGCUUGCUUCUUUGCUGACGAGUGGCGGACGGGUGAGUAAUGUCUGGGAAACUGCCUGAUGGAGGGGGAUAACUACUGGAAACGGUAGCUAAUACCGCAUAACGUCGCAAGACCAAAGAGGGGGACCUUCGGGCCUCUUGCCAUCGGAUGUGCCCAGAUGGGAUUAGCUAGUAGGUGGGGUAACGGCUCACCUAGGCGACGAUCCCUAGCUGGUCUGAGAGGAUGACCAGCCACACUGGAACUGAGACACGGUCCAGACUCCUACGGGAGGCAGCAGUGGGGAAUAUUGCACAAUGGGCGCAAGCCUGAUGCAGCCAUGCCGCGUGUAUG
rnacentral:rRNA from 1 species